GGCAUACAAAUAAUACAAUACAAUACAAUACAAUACAAUAAAUACAAGAUUAGCAUGGCCCCUAUACAAGGAUGACACACAAAUUCGUGACGCGUUCCAUAUUUUU